rnacentral:rRNA from 1 species
AACGCGAAGAACCUUACCUGGGCUCGAACGGCUUAAGAACAUCUUUGGAAACAGGGACUUCCCGCAAGGGACUUGAGUCGAGGUGCUGCAUGGCUGUCGUCAGCUCGUGUCGUGAGAUGUUGGGUUAAGUCCCGCAACGAGCGCAACCCUUGUCCUGUGUUGCCACUCCCGUUAAACGGAAGCACUCGCAGGAGACCGCCAGCGAUAAGCUGGAGGAAGGUGGGGAUGAUGUCAAGUCAUCAUGGCCUUUAUGUCCAGGGCUACACACGUGCUACAAUGGCCGGUACAAAGCGCUGCAAACCCGCGAGGGGGAGCUAAUCGCAAAAAACCGGUCUCAGUUCGGAUCGCAGGCUGCAACUCGCCUGCGUGAAGCUGGAAUCGCUAGUAAUGGUGUAUCAGAACGAUACCGUGAAUACGUUCCCGGGCCUUGUACACACCGUACGUC